GGCGCCAUGGCUUAGUGGUAAAGCGCCUGUCUAGUAAACAGGAGAUCCU
rfam:Ciona savignyi cont_62694, whole genome shotgun sequence.